CAGCAGGCAGGUUCCUUGGUUUCUGUGUGCCUCUCAGAAGCCUAGCUGAUUUUUUGUUCAUUUCUUUGAACCUCAAGUCAUUUGCAGUGGAAAUGGCCCCCAGCUGCUCCUCUGCUCCUGUGUCCCUCAUAAAGGAUUUCAGAGCACACGUUUUUUUCUGAAAUAAAAAGUAUUAGCUCGGAACACCCCCAAGACUAAGGUCUCAGCACCGACAUGGUGAAGUUAUUUGGCCCAGAGGGCCAGAGGGCAGGGAAUAUGGGACAAAGACGGGAGAUAGAGGACUAGAGAGAAAGGGAAGGGGGACAGAUUGGGGUGGGCAGGAAUAUUUGUCCUGGAGAAACAGAAUACUGUCUCUGGGUCGAGAGGAGGCAGACUUGGCACACAGGAAAGUGGUGAUUUAUAUACCACCAAGGGGAAACUCUGUGUUAGGAGGGGGUGUUUAAUUUUAACUGGGCGUGUUAAUUAGGUGAGCCAAAGGGGGCUUUUGAUUGCCGCACUUCAACACUUUGAUAGCUGGACCUUGGUAGUCAGCCUCGGGAGGAGGGAUUGGCCACAUAAGAGAACAGACCUUGGUGGUGAGCUUUAGGAAUGUGAUCUCACAGUUUUUUCAGCAAGACAGAGGGAAUGGGGGAGAAGGGCAGGCCUGCUAGACGCAUGCUUGCCACACCUGGCCAGAGUUGUUUUCAUUUCUGGAUGAAGUGGACUCCUUACUGCACACUGCUGGUUCUCUUUCUAAGGAGCCCUUUGCUAGUUUGUCCGUCCCCCCACCCCACCCCCACCUCAGCAGCUUCACCGCACCUCGGAAGUUACUAAGUUUCAGCUCCUCCUUCUCUCAAGGUUCUCAUUUCAAGGCAGAAAGAACUGGGCGGUAACCUGUUGCGUCCGUGCACUGGCCGCUCUGGAGCGCCUCACUUUUUCUUUCCUGUGGGAAGAACAUCUGAGAGUGACUGUACUUCCCAGCAGUAGGGUGGAGUAGCCCCAUGGCAUGCUUCUGUGUGCCGCACAGGACAGGGGGGUGAAUGGCGGGCCCAGACAUGCACCGCAAUGCUGCCCUCAGGGACCCUGCCCUGGCUCUUGCCUGUGUCUCUAGCUCACUGCUUCUCUUUCCUUCCCACAGGUGGCUCCUGCAGCUGCGAAGGCUGUAAGUGUGCCUCCAGCCAAAGACAAAGGUCUUCAGGGGUUAAAGGAUAGCCAAUGUCCCCAGAGUUGCACACCCAGAGCCAGCUGUGGCUUCCCUCUCAAGCUCAGCCUCCACCCCCAGAUCUUCUUUGGCUGGAGCGGGACAAUUAAAUUUGAUGACUUCAUUCUGAUCUGGUUUUCUUUUUUUUCUUUUUUUUCUUUUUUUUGAUUUAUUUAUUUCUUUAUUAUAUGUAAGUACACUGUAGCUGUCUUCAGACACACCAGAAGAGGGAGUCAGAGCUCGUUACGGAUGGUUGUGAGCCACCAUGUGGUUGCCGGGAUUUGAACUCAGGACCUUCAGAAGAGCAGUCGGGUGCUCUUACCUGUUGAACCAUCUCACCAGCCUCUGAUCUGGUUUUCUGUGUGUGGCCUGGGAUAAAGGACUGAGAUGAGGGAUUGAACAUAAACACAGAGACCUUGACUGUGGACUCAAAUGUUGUAGGCCCACCCCUACACAAACUACACAGCUAUAGACAGACCGUGGACCAGAACCCCCUGCCUAUUGUGGUGCAAUAGAAAAACAGAGCCACGUGUGAGGUAUGGCUGAGAGUGAGAGAAAAGAGAGACCGUGCAGAGGAACACAAAGAUGACAGACACUAGUGACCAAUCCCUCACAGCUCAUCAGAGCUCGGCACUUCUGGAGCACAUACUCCAAGCCAGGGUAAGGUGACAUUCAUCAUGACGUCUGGGGCGGGAGUGGGGGAGGUGAGGGUGAAAACUGGACCGGUUUUCUGGAAUGCUGAUGUGAGAGUGAAGUCCAGCAAACUUAAAGUAACUGGGAAGGGCCUGCCUGGAGGCGAGGAGGCCCAGGGGGCAAGACAUCUGCUGAACAAGAUAGAGCCGGCUCCGGAGGAGAGACUCCGCCGUGCGCAGAAGCUCUGCGCUCAGCUCAUCUGGUGCGCUCUGCACUACCCACGGCCAGGUGCGGAUGACUCAGCCAAAGAGGACGCCGGUGCUGAGUGCACCAGGCCGCCGUGACACCUGGAAAGGCUCUAAGCUGCCCUCUGGUGGUCACCUCCACCUCCGCUUGGACCUCCACACAGGCUUAGACCUCCGUCUUCACACGGUCUGGAAAUAGAGCCACUGAGCAGCUGGGAAGUGAGCCCUGGAAUGGGCCUUAGGAGUCCCAGUUCCCAGAGACAGCAAUGAACGUGCCUGGCUGUGAGGACGUCGGUCUUGGGUUAUAAGCUCAGUGAACUCCGUUUGUCCACUGAUUGCUCUCUAGUCGAGUUCCUGAUAGCAAGCAUGUCCACCCUGAAUGCUCCUCCCUGUCAAACACCAGGCUUGAGGCUUAAGCUCCUCGAUCUUACAUCACUCAGCUGGUUGGGGGCCUAUACCCGGACCCAGGGCUCCGUGUGGAUCUGGGAGUCUCAGUGCAGGGUGAGGGCAGAGAGCUGAGGACCUCCGAUCCUGACUUCAGUUGCUGUCCCCAUGGGCUCACUUAACUUUCCUAUGUGUGGUAAACCCGAAGGGCGCUUGCCCUUCUCAGAUGAGGGCACAUAAGAAUGGGCCUCUCUCCCUUUUCCUCGAGUCAGGCAGGAGCUCUUGGGGCUGACACUGCUACCGAAGGUGCCCUGGCAAGUUAAUGACUGUGUGCUCUGCCUCCUUUGUUUCCUUUAUCCUCUAACCCUUUCCUCACAGAUGACUCCCGCACUUGCACAGUGGCAGGUGCCCUUCGUGCAGGAACCUUAGUAGGUAAGGGCUGAGGACUGGAUUGAGUCAGAGCAGUCGGCGCCAACAUCCACUUCCUGUUUCCCAUCCUCAGCCAUUGACUGAGGGUCAGAGCAGAGAGAACAAGGGCGUUGAUUCUUUAUCCUUAGAAAUGGGACACCGAGGCCCGCCCAGAGAGUGUGGACCAGGCAGCUCAGACCUGAUGCUGGGAAAGUGUCCUAAGUAACACAGUAUUUGUUCCCAGUCUCCCUGCUGCCGACUUUCCGCACUUUUCUCGGUUCCUCCAGCCGGUUGCUCCCGUGGGGUGGGAAGCAGAGCUGCUCCUGGGCCUUCUGUCGAGCACUGAGCCUACAAAGGGCCAUUAAGCAGCUGCAGCUGCUGCAUGUGAGCUGGGGCAGCGCUCCCUACAACGUCAUGAUAUCUACAAGUCAGACUUGAUUUUCACAUAGCGCUCGCCUAUUUGCUUGCCCGCUUCCCUCCCGGUUGCAGGCAGCAGCAGCUUGGUCUCAUGGACCUAGGACACCUGCAUUUAUUUUAAUUAAUUAAUUAAUUAAUUAAUGGGUUAAAUCAAUUUUUCACGUGGCCUGGAGAGAUGGCUCAGAGGUAAGAGCACUGGCUGCUCUUUCAGAGGUCCUGAGUUCAAUUCCCAGCAACCACAAGAUGGCUCACAACCAUCUGUAAUGAGAUCUGGUACCCUCUUUUGUCAUGCAGGCAUACAGAUAAGCAGAACCCUGUAUACAUAGUAAAUAAAUCUUUUUUUUUAAUUAAUUAUUCACAGUGCUGGGAGCCUUGCUAGGAAAGCGCUCUACCACUGAGCAGCACACGCCUGGCCCAGGAAACUCUUUUCUAUGUGUACUUCAGGUUAAAACGCAUGGAAGCGCCAUACAGAACCACUUGGGAAAAUAAAACGGUCUCUGUCGUUUUCUC